rnacentral:tRNA from 2 species
UGCGCCCAUAGUUCAAUUGGAUAGAAUAUCGGUCUACGAAACCGGGGGUUGCACGUUCGAAUCGUGCUGGGCGCAU